rnacentral:rRNA from 1 species
CCUACGGGAGGCAGCAGUGAGGAAUAUUGGUCAAUGGACGAGAGUCUGAACCAGCCAAGUAGCGUGAAGGAUGACUGCCCUAUGGGUUGUAAACUUCUUUUAUAUGGGAAUAAAAUGUUCCACGUGUGGGAUUUUGUAUGUACCAUAUGAAUAAGGAUCGGCUAACUCCGUGCCAGCAGCCGCGGUAAUACGGAGGAUCCGAGCGUUAUCCGGAUUUAUUGGGUUUAAAGGGAGCGUAGGUGGAUUGUUAAGUCAGUUGUGAAAGUUUGCGGCUCAACCGUAAAAUUGCAGUUGAAACUGGCAGUCUUGAGUACAGUAGAGGUGGGCCGAAUUCGUGGUGUAGCGGUGAAAUGCUUAGAUAUCACGAAGAACUCCGAUUGCGAAGGCAGUUCACUGGACUGCAACUGACACUGAGGCUCGAAAGUGUGGGUAUCAAACAGGAUUAGAUACCCGAGUAGUC